AGGGAGCCUGAGAAACGGCUACCACAUCCAAUGAAG
rnacentral:rRNA from 1 species